UAGAAUUGGAGAAAAGGGAUCAAAUUUGCAAUUUCAUAGCAGUUUUGGGUAAUACUGAUGAUAUUACAGCGGAGGGAUAGGGGGUGUAAAGUGUCUUUCUGCAGAGCAGUCAUUGUGUCGGAAGUGAGAUUUUCACCCCAGUCAACUUCAAAUCCGUGUAGCAAAAAAUCUAAAUGGUCAACCCCCUACAAAAUUAUGAUGAGGAGAUUGCCAAAUGUUGUCCCCAUUGUGCCUAUAAAGAUUGGAACCAACGGAAUGUUGAGAAAAAAGCUACAGCCUGUGAUGUUACAGCCAUUUAACAUUGAAGUCAAUGGGCAAAUAAUUGCUAGUCUGAGUCCUGAUGAGAUAAAGAAACAUGGCCGACUCGGGAUGUUGAUAUUUUUUCAAGGGCUUAUUUCCUGAAGUUUUGAAUGGAAAGUGUCAGAAAUAGUAAGAAUACUGCUUUUUUAUUGCCCAGCAGUGCCAGGGCAAUGUUUCAUAGAGUGGAAUGAUUGACCUCAACACAAGUAUUAAAAAAAAAGAAGCAAAACAGGUCUACAUCUCAAAACCUGAUCUCUUCCUGGACUGGCUUUAGGAGAACGAUGAUGCAUAUCAAUUUCAUCCCUGAUCUCUAUGACACCUGUGGUGGAAGUGGAGGGCAAAUCGUAAUCAGUUUGGGACCUCUGUAAACUUUGCUUUUUGGUGAUGACUUAAUUUCCGAGCUUGAAAAGGACGCUUGUGUGUUUAUCAUGGCCUCUCAUAUUGGAAGAUAACAUUAAUGGCUUGUGUGUUGAUCGACGGUUGUGCAUAUCUCUUGGUCAGGAAAGUUGUAGGCACCAUCGCCAUUGUAAAUCAUUUGACAGGCUCGAGUGAACGGGGCGACCUAUGAUUGGUCAGCAAUGUAUCAGAUUCCAUACCGGGGGGUGGGGAUGAAAAAACUGUUGUAGUGUUACAUAAUCAGAUUAUUUCAACUUACUUAUCCUGUGGAAAUACAGCUAUAUAGGAGAUAUUUUGAAAUUCAUAGGCACUGCAUGUUUCAACAUUUUAGAUUUGACCACAAUUUGGCACUUAAAACUAUGUUAACAGAGAAAAACUGUGUGGUUUUCGAUGAAAGUGUUAAAAGUCUAAUAUUGCAUCAUGAUUACUGUUUUAAAGUAUUUUCGUGUUUGAUUUAUAUUGAAUUCAUCUCAUCUUUUUGAAGAAUGCAUUUAUGUUCAAAAAUAAAAAUGUUCUGUGGAAUUCAAAAUUCAUGUGCUUUUAAAUUAUCAGAUUCCAAACUGGGGGGUAGGGAUGAAAAAGCUGUUGUAGUGUUACAUAAUCAGAUUAUUUCAACUUACUUAUCCUAUGGAAAUACAGCUAUAUAGGAGAUAUUUUAAAAUUGAUAGGCACUGCAUGUUUCAACAUUUUAGAUUUGACCACAAUUUGGCACUUGAAACUACGUUAACAGAGAAAAACUGUGUGGUUUUCGAUGAAAGUGUUAAAAAG